rnacentral:tRNA from 1 species
GUCACGGUAGCUCAAGUGGUAGAGCAUCGGCGUACUGAGCCGAAAGUCGUGGGUUCGAAUCCCGCCUGUCACA